rnacentral:rRNA from 1 species
GGAUACGGUCAUACAAGCACUAAAUCACCGGAUCCCAUCGGAACUUCGAAGUUAAGCGUGCUUGGGCGAGAGUAGUACUAGGAUGGGUGACCUCCUGAGAAGUCCUCGUGUUGCAUUCU